GGAUUAAAGAGAGGAUAAGAGAAGCAGAAGACUCAGGCCAGAGCUGAGCUCCCUUUGCAGCACAGAUGAUGAAGCCUUUCAUGAAGAGCUGACUGAUGAAUCUGGGCAUCUUUCAAUGUCCUGAAUAAUGAGCCGGUUCUUCCCUCUUGCCGAGAAACAUAUGGGAUGUGAGGAAAAUCAGCUGGAAACCCAGCCACGUCUCUCCCGUUCCCUACGGACGGAAAACCAGUGCCUUGAAUGCCCCGGAAAGCUGAGGUUUCUUGUCCAACAGAGAUGGAUGCUGGCUGGGCUAAGGAAUCUGCUCUGCUGCCUUUUUUCAACAUAUAUCUGCUCGAAACUCCUGACCCCAUGGAAACGUCCCAAAGGUCGUAUCUUUCAGUUUCCAGUAUUCCUUCAUCUUUGAGAAAGACACUUUCCAAGAGAGGAGAAGGUGGUAAGAGGAUAGCGAUGUAAAUAUCUGUCCAUGACACGCCUUAAUAUUGAUUUCAGUGGCUUUAAUUUCAUUUAUCCCCAGAAUAUUUAUAGAAAGUUCUAAUAACGAGGACUAAACCCACAUUUUUUUCCUUUUCUUUAUUUCCCAUCUUUUUUUUUUUUUAAUUCUUUUUCCAAAAGUCAUAAAAGACCACGCUUUAUCAUGGAUUUAAUGAUGCUUAAAGAUGCAGGUUCUUCGUGGGCUUUGUUUUCAAAGUGUUUUCUUUAUUUCCCAUCUUUUUUUUUUUUUUCUUUUUCCAGAAGUCAUUAUAGACCACACUUUAUGAUGGACUUAAUGACGCUUAAAGAUGCAGGUUCUUCGUGGGCUUCAUUUUCAAAGCAUGAAGAUCUUAGUAGCAUAGACCACCUCGUGCAGGGAGGAUGAAGGUCAUUGAAGCAGCAAAGAGAGGCCGUGGCACAGGACAGGUCUGAAUGGGCUCCAUCAGUCUCGCUCCCCACACCUUAAAAGGCAGGGUGCUCACAGCAUAGGGUCUGUGAUACAUGACUGGAUUGUUUGGACUCCAUCCAGCGGAGGGUGGUGAUAGACAUCUGCCCCAAAAGCAAUUAACUGCGAUGGAUUUGGAGAGACAAAAUAAUCCAGUGGUCAUCUACCACCUCAAGGAAGGGAGCUUGGGACAAAAUUUCCAUCUGGGAAAGAACUUCAAAAAGCAGAACCUCCCCCUUGGGCGCAGCUCUCCAGGACCUUUAGGGGCUGCACCCCAAGAGAAAUAUCCCCCCCCAACCCUGUGCUGCAAACGGUGGGGUGCAGGAGCCGAGGAGCGGGGUCCAUCCUCGAGCCAGCGAGAGCCACCAGCAUCCCAGGACAGACGUGCCAGCACAGACCACACCAACCCGAGCCAUCUGCCAGGAUCCAAAGCACGGCAGGUGGGAUUAGAGGAUUUAGGCGACUAAUUGCAGAAUUUACUUUGGUACCGAAGCGUUUGUGCGAGGGGGAGAGAGGGGAGGGGGGAUUAACACAACUGCCGGAGAG
rnacentral:lncRNA from 1 species